rnacentral:rRNA from 1 species
GAUGAACGCUAGCUACAGGCUUAACACAUGCAAGUCGAGGGACCGGCGCACGGGUGAGUAACACGUAUCCAACCUGCCCUUUACUCGGGGAUAGCCUUUCGCAAGAAAGAUUAAUACCCGAUGUAAAGGAUGGGGAUGCGUUCCAUUAGGUUGUUGGUGAGGUAACGGCUCACCAAGCCUUCGAUGGAUAGGGGUUCUGAGAGGAAGGUCCCCCAGAGUGGAGCUGAGACACGGUCCACACUCCUACGGGAGGCAGCAGUGAGGAGUAUUGGUCGAUGGGCGUUAGCCUGAACCAGCCAAGUAGCGUGAAGGAUGAAUGCGUAUGGGUCGUAAAUUUCUUUUAUAUAAGAAAAUGUAUUAUAUGAAUAAGGAUCGGCUAACUACGUGCCAGCAGCCGCGGUAAUUC